rnacentral:rRNA from 1 species
AUUGAACGCUGGCGGCAUGCCUUACACAUGCAAGCCGAACGGUAACAGGUCUUCGGAUGCUGACGAGUGGCGAACGGGUGAGUAAUACAUCGGAACGUGCCUAGGAGUGGGGAUAACUACUCGAAAGAGUGGCUAAUACCGCAUGAGAUCUACGGAUGAAAGCAGGGGAUCGCAAGACCUUGUGCUACUAGAGCGGCCGAUGGCAGAUUAGGCAGUUGGUGGGAUAAAAGCUUACCAAGCCGACGAUCUGUAGCUGGUAUGAGAGGACGAUCAGCCACACUGCGACUGCGACACGGCCCAGACUCCUACGGGAGGCAGCAGUGGGGAAUUUUGGACAAUGGGCGCAAGCCUGAUCCAGCAAUGCCGCGUGCAGGCUGAAGGCCUUCGGGUUGUAAACUGCUUAUGUACGGAACGAAAAGCCCUGGGUUAAUGCCCUGGGGUCAUGACGGUACCGUAAGAAUAAGCACCGGCUAACUACGUGCCAGCCGCCGCAGUAA